AUCUUUAUAAUUUCAUAGUUUAAAUAAUACGUAUUUUCAAAGCAAUACGUAUAAUUUAUUGUUUUUAGUGUUUUUAACCCAACAUUUUAUAAUUCUACUAGAUAAUUUUAUUCCAUAACUCAACAUAAUUUAAACUCUCCUAGAUAAUUUUGUUCCGUAUAUUUAUUAAAUUAACUAAAAUGGAAAUAAUGGAUCAACAGCAAUUCCCUAACAUAUUUUCAUCCCAAAAUCCUUGAUGGGGUUCUUCGAAUCUUGGUGAAAACGUCCCCCUUGUUCGUCACUUAUACUUCCUAAGUUUUCGAGAAAAAAAAAUAGAAAUUUCAUGAUUCAAACACAAUGAAUGUCGGAAAAACUCAUUACCUUUUUAACAUAGAGUCAAUUUUUGGAGUUUACUCCUUAAGAAUCGAUUUGCAUAUAUAAGAGGCCCGGUAUGAGAAAAAUGUGAGGAGUAAAAUCUAUCGAUGAAUGACCUCGUUACGUUUUUGGUGAGCACCCUAUGAUGCGCAACUUUCUAAUUUGUCAGUGUCAACAUACUUAUAUUGCUGUCAUUGUGAAGUUUUAUUAUCAUUGUGUUCCGCUAAAGUGAACUGAAAAUAUUUUCAAAUAACUAUGACAGAAAGAGGUGUAGAUGAUAUUGCCGGAACAUCUAACAAACACGUGGUUGCAAGGAAAAAAUCUAAACCUCCAAAAACUCCAGCCGAGAGACAGCGAGCUUACAGAUUAAAAAAAAAUUAAUGAAGAAAGCCC